rnacentral:rRNA from 1 species
UACGUAGGUGGCAAGCGUUGUCCGGAAUUAUUGGGCGUAAAGCGCGCGCAGGCGGCCUCUUAAGUCUGAUGUGAAAGCCCCCGGCUCAACCGGGGAGGGCCAUUGGAAACUGGGAGGCUUGAGUAUAGGAGAGAAGAGUGGAAUUCCACGUGUAGCGGUGAAAUGCGUAGAGAUGUGGAGGAACACCAGUGGCGAAGGCGACUCUUUGGCCUAUAACUGACGCUGAGGCGCGAAAGCGUGGGGAGCGAUCCGG